rnacentral:rRNA from 1 species
GACGAACGCUGGCGGCGUGCUUAACACAUGCAAGUCGAACGGGCCUUGUCCCCUUUUUUUUUGGGGGUGGGGUUAGUGGCGAACGGGUGAGUAACACGUGAGUAACCUGCCCCUCACUUCUGGAUAACCGCUUGAAAGGGUGGCUAAUACGGGGUGUUCUGGCCUGCUCGCAUGGGUGGGUUUGGAAAGAUUCGACCGGUUUUGGUUGUUUUGGUGGGGGAUGGGCUCGCGGCCUAUCAGCUUGUUGGUGGGGUGAUGGCCUGCCAAGGCUUUGACGGGUAGCCGGCCUGGGAGGGUGGGCGGUCACACUGGGACUGAGACACGGCCCAGACUCCUACGGGAGGCAGCAGUGGGGAAUAUUGCACAAUGGGCGCAAGCCUGAUGCAGCGACGCCGCGUGAGGGAUGGAGGCCUUCGGGUUGUGAACCUCUUUCGCCAGUGAAGAAGGUCCUGCUCUUUGUGGUGGGGUUGACGGUAGCUGGGUUAAUGAAGCGCCGGCUAACUACGUG